CAAAAGCCUCAAUGUCAACCUGACCAUCGAGAGAGACGAACUACAGACAAAUUACAGUGAAAUGACAAGCCUCAAUGUCAACCUGACCCAAAAGACACACCAGCUACAGGAAGACAUUUUUGAAGUCACCAAAGACAGAGACAAAUUAAAAAAGCAGCUUGAGACAUCAUCCUGUCCUGCCAAGUGGAUAAAGUUUGGCAACACUUGUUAUUCAUUUUUCACCUCAAUGAAAAACUGGUCUGACAGCAAACAGUUCUGUGAAAGUCGUGGUGGACAGCUGCCGAUCAUAUCUAGCGAAGAGGAACAGAUAUUUCUAAGCUCAUUUUCCAACAGCAUCUGGAUUGGUGUCACAGACGAGGAGCAGGAAGGUGUCUGGAAAUACGUUGAUGGAACGAAUGCCACCACAUUGUACUGGGGAAGAGGACAGCCGGAUAAUGGAGGACGUUAUGAAAAAGAAAACUGUGUUCAUAUUAAUAAAUGGUUAAGUGGUUUAAAUAACUGGAAUGAUUUACCUUGCAGGUUAAAAUUAUUCUUCAUCUGUGAGAAAAUACUUAAAUGAAAUCAAAUUAUGAUGCUACACUCUUGAACUGAUUCCACAUCUGUUUUGCUCUGACGCAUGUAAAAUAACAACAACAAGCUGCACAUUUUUCCUCCUGUUAAAGCAAAGUAGAGC